CCCUGCAGCCUCACUGCUCAAUCCUCUGCCAUUUAGGAGUUAAAUCCCUUUGUUUAUGAACCCUAGUCACACCUCCCUGCAUGUGACUUGCACAGCCUUCCAUAAACACUUCCUGUAAAGAGAGCUCUAUUUAGGCUUUCUUUAUUGCAAGUUCUGUUUAAUUAAGAUUUUCUUAUCCCCUGCUAUGUUAAUAGCUUGCUAGACCCUGCAAGAGCCUCCUGUAUGUGAUUAAAGUUCAAUUUAGAGAUUGAGAUACAAUUAUUUCAGGUAAAUUACAUCUGUUUGAAAAUGAAACCAGUUUUUUUUUUUUCAUGCAGGCUCUGUCAAUCAUAGCCAGGGGAGGUGUGGCUAGGGCUGCAUAAACAGAAACAAAGUGAUUCAACUCCUAAAUGACAGUGAAUUGAGCAGUGAAAUUGCAGGGGAAUGAUCUAUACACUAAAACUGCUU